AGUAAUUGAGUACUAGAGUGCUCGAUAUUUUGUAAUAUUAUGCUUUACGAUAGCAGAAUAGAGAUUCUUUUCUGUAGCUGAAGCUGAACUUCCUGCAUGAUAUUUCAAUUCUAAAUCUCGUUUUCUUCCUUUCAGUGCUCGAUCAUGUAUUUAUGUCGGUUUGCGUAGGAAGUAUGACAUGUAGCCUAGUUCCAAGAAAGGAGAUCUCGAGUUUCUUUGUUUUCGUUGUCCCUUCCGUGCUACAUCCUUUCCGCCUGUCCCUUUUACCUGUAAACUUGCACAUAUAUCCGUUUUUUCUCUAAACGCAGAAAGUACGUACACAAGAGAAUACUCGGACGAACGAAUUAUCUUGCAUUACCGGUUUUGCAAAAAAACGUCUAACGUCCACAUACGUAUGUGCACUAUUUCCUUUCGAAUGUAGUUUUGCUGAACGUGUUCGUACGAGAAAAAGGUCUAGCGCCUAGCGCAGAUACGAAUCGACAAACGCGAGGAUAAUGCACGACAAGGUUAUGACAGUAUAGCACGUAUUUGAUCAUCAGCGUGAAGUUGAUCAUUAGGAAAUAUAAGUUGGUAGCGAGAUUGUUAAAUCUGUGAAGAGCAGCUGAAGUUGGACCGAAUCCUUAAUGAUCAAUAUUUUCAUCUUCCAUCGCUGGAGGAGGUCUAGUUCGCAGAAUAUACUGGAGUAAAGUACGCAGCGUUGACGGAGCCCCUUGCAAACAGGCUAUCAUCGUCAUGCGAAAGAUGCCGUCUGAGAUCUUCCUGGGGAAUGGUGGUACUCUUCACCGUUCUCUGAUGUUCAUACUAAAGCUCGGCUGGCAGUCACGAUUCCGCCUGCCAGUGCUCCUGGUCAUCGUCUUUGUCGCCAUGGAUUACAGACUACAAUUAGAAAUUGAAUUUGGGAACGACGUAGACCAACAUAAUCAUUUAUGAUCAAAACGGGACGAGGUGAUGUAAACUCAUGAUGUAAGAUUUAUAUAUUUAGCAGACGCAGGGAAAUGUCUGGCGGAAACGGGAAAAGAUAUAAGGUCUUGGAAGAUUUCUAUAUUCAGCAGAUGCGGUGAGAUAUUUAAUAGAAAGAUUGAAUAUGAGCUCUUGUAAGACUUAUAUAUUUAACAGAAACGUAGAAGAUUGAAUGUACUCUCUUCUUAUUUAACGUAAUAAAUUAACAAAUAUAAAGAUAUACAAAGAUAUCUAGCAGAGAAAACAUGAGCAUGGACUGUAUAUAUCUAAUUAUAUUUAGACUACAUAUACGUGUUAAUUGUUGACGGACAUUAGUAUAAUUGUGUCAUACAUUUUACAAAAUCCUAUAUAUAUAUAUAUGAUACUGAAUAUAAUAUAUCGAUAAUAUACGAAUUAUUUAUAAAUAUAACAGAAUUUUUGUCGAGUCAAUUAUUAAUAUCUAUAUUUAUUAGACUGUCAUAAUUAGAGGAACAUGUGGCAGUUCCAUCUGAAUAUUAUUUAAGAAUUUUAUCUUAUAAUAUUUAUAUCAUAAACAUGUUGUGCACAUUGUUCUAUAAAUUCAUAAUUUUAUUAAAAUAGAAAUGUUUAUAAGAAGAAAGCUGUCAAGAAAUAUGAGAUAGCAAAGGACUAUGAAAUAUACCUUUAAAAUAAAUUAGAAAUAUUCGCAAUUCUCUAGGAAAAUGAAUAUAAUAAAUAGUAUGACUGAAAUAUAAAUUAUGAAAAUAGGAGUUAAGAAAGAAAUUUUUGACUGUUUAUGUAUAGUUAUGUUUAUGUAUAGAUAAUAUUUGUUUGUAAACUUUACGAAUAUUAAUUGACUAGUAAAAUGCGAAAUUAAUUUCACAGAAAUUUUAAUGCAUUCACGUAUUGUGUGAAAACUGCAUGCAAGAUAAAUCUUGAUUAAGAUGUAAUUUUUCGCGUACGGAUAUGAGAAUUCUUUGUAAUAAAUUAAAUAUUUAACAAAUG